rnacentral:rRNA from 1 species
GGGGGAAUAUUGCACAAUGGGGGAAACCCUGAUGCAGCGACGCCGCGUGAGCGAUGAAGGCUUUCGAGUCGUAAAGCUCUGUCCUAUGGGAAGAUAAUGACGGUACCAUAGAAGAAAGCCCCGGCUAACUACGUGCCAGCCGCCGCGGUAAUACGUAGGUGGCAAGCGUUGUCGGGAAUUAUUGGGCGUAAAGCGCGCGCAGGUGGUUUAGAAAGUCUGAUGUGAAAGCCCACGGCUCAACCGUGGAGGGUCAUUGGAAACUAAUAAACUGGAGUGCAGGGGAGAAAAGUGGAAUUCCUAGUGUAGCGGGGAAAUGCGUAGAGAUUAGGAGGAACACCGGUGGCGAAAGCGGGGUUUUGGCCUGCGACUGACACUGAGGGGCGAAAGCGUGGGGAGCGAACAGG